CUUCACCGCCGCACGAAGCCCCAUCUCCCUUCGCUCGACGCCGCCCUCCUCUCCUUCAUUUCGACUUCUGCCUCCCCCCUCUCCCACUCUCCGUCGUGAUACCUCCCCAAUCCUAAUCGCGCUCGGGCGGCGGCAGCUGUGAAGUGCCCCCCUUCCAGAUCAAAUGGUAUGCGUGAUGAUGGGACCCUGCUCCUGUGACAAUUUCCGGAGCUUUCUGUGAAAUUGGGCCUGACCAACCACAUUUCCUCGACCCCGCUGCUCACAUUCUAGAGGUUGUGGUCGGAGUCGUGCAGCUGGAUGCAGCACACUGGAGCAGUGGAGCUUGAGUUUGCGACCACAGCGGAACAACUCUGGCAUUGACUGCCGAUUGGUGAUUUCUUUCCCUUCUAGUACCUUUGCCUCUCUUUAUACAUUAUGUAGAUAUUAUGGAAGCUAAAUUGCUAUUUUGUGUGUUGAGCCAAAAUCCCCAGAUUAAUCUGCGUCUACCUAGAUUCUAUACUUGUUAGUAGUACAAAAUAUAUUAGUUACAAGGAAAUUAGAUCUAUUGAUCCAACUAUCCACUUUAAAUAUAAUAUUUUUGAGGUUUAACUCAGAUCCCGAUUCAGUAAUUACUUGUAUGAAAGUACUCCAAAUUAUUUUACUUGCCUUAAACCGUUUCAUUAUUUCUUCAGGCCAUGAUCACUACAGGUUUCAUAUUCCUAUGUACAUGUCCCAGUUUAAAGUGUCCUUAUCUUUCACUCUGUCACCUCCUAUAAGAUAUGUUUGGUGCCUUCAAAAUUUAUUGUCCCAUUUACUUUUGCAGGAUUUCAACAACCUGUUCUUGGUUAGGAUUUGUAUCCAUCAGACCAUUUACUUCUCAUGCUAUGCCAUUUGAAACCCCUUCAAUCCAAAUUAAAUUCCUAUAUAUGCUCAUUACUUUGUUGAUUCCAUUUUUAUACUUUGUGAUCCCUUUCACUUCUUUUUAAGGUGGGCUAUAGCACCUUUUCUCAUAAUUAAAAAUACAACAAUAGAGAUUUUCUUUAUCAUAAAUUUUUGUGAAUCAUCUUGUUCUUAUAUGUUAGUUUAUUUUCCAUUUUUCUGACGAGGCAAAAUUUGAAAUGUUGUUUACUUCAGAAAUGCCUUGUCAUGGUGUAUCAUAUUGCAUCGCUUGGCCAGAUCUCCAGCAAACUCCUACAACCGGACACCAUCCAUUAUGUGAAGGCCGAUCAGCAACCGGUGCUGAAGCUCUGAAAGGCUGAAUAAUUACAAAAAAGGAUUUUUGAAUCAAUAGCCUUGAGUACAACAAUCUAGGAUCCUUUCACAUGAAUAUAUCCUAAUAUUCAGGCUUUGCAGCACAUGCCUCUCUCCAAAUCACAACAUGUUUAAGAGUCAUGUGCACAUUUUAUGCAGCCUUCUAAUGUUUUCAUUUGAUGGUAACUGCUAAAUACUACAAACUAUGGAGAAUCCUCCUCUUCGCAUUGUAACCGAAAAGCGAUCUAUCGACUAUAAUAUCAACUACAAGUGUUAUUGGAUGGAGAAGUUGCUCGUACUUUGAACGGGUGAUCUAGAGGCAGGCUUAUGGAGAUAUUUAGUAUGUCAUCAUAUAUAUAAGCUGAAACAAAAGAGUUCAAUUGAUGGGCAUUUUCAAUUA